rnacentral:rRNA from 1 species
CCUAUAAGACUGGGAUAACUUCGGGAAACCGAAGCUAAUGCCGGAUAACAUUUGGAACCGCAUGGUUCUAAAGUAAAAGAUGGUUUUGCUAUCACUUAUAGAUGGACCCGCGCCGUAUUAGCUAGUUGGUAAGGUAACGGCUUACCAAGGCAACGAUACGUAGCCGACCUGAGAGGGUGAUCGGCCACACUGGAACUGAGACACGGUCCAGACUCCUACGGGAGGCAGCAGUAGGGAAUCUUCCGCAAUGGACGAAAGUCUGACGGAGCAACGCCGCGUGAGUGAUGAAGGUUUUCGGAUCGUAAAACUCUGUUAUUAAGGAAGAACAAAUGUGUAAGUAACUGUGCACAUCUUGACGGUACCUAAUCAGAAAGCCACGGCUAACUACGUGCCAGCAGCCGCGGUAAUACGUAGGUGGCAAGCGUUAUCCGGAAUUAUUGGGCGUAAAGCGCGCGUAGGCGGUUUCUUAAGUCUGAUGUGAAAGCCCACGGCUCAACCGUGGAGGGUCAUUGGAAACUGGGAAACUUGAGUACAGAAGAGGAAAGUGGAAUUCCAUGUGUAGCGGUGAAAUGCGCAGAGAUAUGGAGGAACACCAGUGGCAAAGGCGACUUUCUGGUCUGUAACUGACGCUGAUGUGCGAAAGCGUGGGGAUCAAACAGGAUUAGAUACCCUGGUAGUCCACGCCGUAAACGAUGAGUGCUAAGUGUUAGGGGGUUUCCGCCCCUUAGUGCUGCAGCUAACGCAUUAAGCACUCCGCCUGGGGAGUACGACCGCAAGGUUGAAACUCAA